rnacentral:rRNA from 1 species
UACGUAGGAGGCGAGCGUUGUCCGGAAUCACUGGGCGUAAAGCGCGUGUAGGCGGGGGGGCAAGUCUGCUGUGAAAGCGCCUGGCUUAACCGGGCGAGGUCGGCGGAAACUGCUUCCCUGGAGGGCGGUAGAGGGGGGUGGAAUUCCCGGUGUAGUGGUGAAAUGCGUAGAGAUCGGGAGGAAUACCUGUGGCGAAGGCGGCCUACUGGGCCGGACCUGACGCUGAGACGCGAAGGCGUGGGGAGCGAACGGG